rnacentral:lncRNA from 1 species
UGGGCGGGAAAGGACGGACGGGUUAAGUAGCCAAUCACCAAUUGCGCUCCAGCCAGAGGGGCGAUGUUCUUGGGGAGCCUGGGGAUCUGGAAGAAGUUCAGUGUGAGGACGAGUGUUAGGAAAUAAGGCUGAAGACAGAGGCAACCCUGGAGGAUCUUCUAACCCAUGUCAAGCAGUUGAGAAUUUAUGGAGUGAAAUAGCAAGCCAUUGAAGAGUUUCAAGCUUUCAUCCAGCUUUUAAGGGAAACUAAUAUCUCAUGAAAUUGUGAGGGCCUGGAAUCUUCAAAGAGCCAAGGAUUCUGCCAGACUGAGCAAUAGACUUGAUGAGCAUUCUCCACUUAAGAUCUGAACUAUGAGAAGUCGAAUCAAAGCAGUUCUUUUGUAAUUCCAAACAGCCAUUUAGACAUAUGAAGAAAUGAAAGUAAAGCAGUUCUAAAGACAAGGAAGAGGGUCAAUGAAAGGUGCUCCCAAUGCAAUCACAAAGAUCUUUAAAAGUGGAAGAAGGUGGGAGAGGUCAGAGUGAUACGAAGAGAACUCAGUCUACCACUGCUGGCUUUGAAGAUGGAAGAAUGGGGCUAUGAGCCCUGGAUUGCGGGCAGCCUGCAGAAGCUGGGGCAGAGAUUCCACACAGGCACCUCUAGAAAAUAAUGCAGCCAGCCAAUCCUUAGACUUUAUCCCAGUGAGAGUCAAGUUGGACUUCUGACCUACAAAAGAGUAAAUAUCUAAAUUAUCUGUGGCAACAACUUGGUGGGGUCAACUCGAAUGUUUUUGUCGGCUGUUCUUGAAGACUUCUGGGUCUCUACAACCACAUUCUUUGGCUGGUGCCAGUGUUUAAGCACUCUGAAACUGCAUAGCAGCAUGUUUGAAGGUGGCCUGUCAAAUUUGGGAAACUGACGGUGUGACUGAGCUAGUCACAGGGGUCUUCACAGAAAAGGCAGUCGGGGUCCUGGUCAACUGGAGAUUCCAUCUGAAUGAUUUUAAAGAAGAUGUCAUCAUAUUGGUUCGUGAGAUGCUGGUAGCUCCCUGCUGAGAUGAAGACAGGCCUUCAUCCCUAGAGCUAGAACUGCAAGUUCUCCCUUAAGUCCUAUAAAAUUCAUUUAGAGCCAUCUUUCCUGACAUCUGUACAUAAAGCAGUGUAAAACAUUACAAUAUAAAUUACAUCUGGGGGAUUCAUCUGAAAUUCUAUUUCACUGUUAAAUAAUUAAAAGUUGAAAACCUCUCCAUAGCUUUAUUGCACUCUCUUAACAAGACUAAAAUUUUUUCAUAAAGCAUCUUCCUUCCCAACAGUGGAAGCCUUUGGUGCAUUCUGCAGAAAUGAGUUUAGUAAUUAAUAAAUCGGAUCCUCUGGGACCUGACUCUGUGGCUGAAGCUCUUACUGAGGUGAUGUUACAUAUUCAGAACUCCUAAAUUAUCCACAUAUUUAGAGUAUAUGAAUUUACCAUAACUGUCUUUUUU